rnacentral:lncRNA from 1 species
CAGUGGAGAGGAUCGAAGCAAUUCCUAUACUUUUGAAGAUGCAGUAGGAUCGAGUGGAGCCACUUGAAGAAGAAGAGCACCAAGGUCCAAGCUCGAUCGGGCAAAAUUGGCCAUUUUUAGUCUUUGCUCUAUUCCUGUUACAAAACAACGAGCAAAGAGGGGCAGCUGUAAUACCCAAAUUUGCCCGGCCCGCUAUUAAAAUAAAUAAUAAAAAAACAAAUAAAAUAACAGUCCAAAUUACAAACAAUUUUACCAAACCCAAUUUUCCUAGACCCUAGCCCAAACCUAAACCCGAUUUUAAGCCCAGAACAUAAGUAGAAACCCUAGCAGUUUCUGAAACAGCCCCAGCCGCCGCAACAGAGCCAGGUCUCCUACUAGCGCGUGUAGCGCCUCCGCGCCAAAUCCACGUGAACCUCCACAUCCACUGCCCCGUACGCCCG